UACGUAGGCAGCAAGCGUUGUUCGGAGUUACUGGGCGUAAAGGGUGCGUAGGCGGCUUUUUAAGUUUGGUGUGAAAUCUCCCGGCUCAACUGGGAGGGUGCGCCGAAUACUGAGAGGCUAGAGUGUGGGAGAGGAAAGUGGAAUUUCCGGUGGAGCGGUGAAAUGCGUAGAGAUCGGAAAGAACACCAACGCGGAAAGCACUCUGCUGGGCCGACACUGACACUGAGAGACGAAAGCUAGGGGAGCGAAUGGG
rnacentral:rRNA from 1 species